CCCAGUCAGUCUAGUAAACGUUUUGCCCCGUGGCAGCCUCGUCAAACACAGCAGGAAGAUCAGGCUCUGGAGCGCACUCUUGACACAUCUCCUGGGGAUGGAUCCUUUUACACUUUCUGAUCAUCACUGCCUUGCUGCACACGUGGAACAGCUUAGCUGGAGGCUGAGGUGAAGAGACCAUCUCCUUGAGAGCAACAGAAACAAGGCACCAAAAAAUACUGAGGAUGUGGUAGGAAGGGUCCUGGUAGAAUGUUGCGGGUAGCCCACCUCACCAGGAAAGCAGGUGGCGGUGAGGAACAGAGGUGUGUUUUGGGACAGCCCUGCAGCAGUCCGUGCAGGUGGGGAGAACUGGCCAAGGAGGGGGGAACCCUCCUGGUGAGCCAAGAAAGAGCCAACCAUCCUGAACUGGGAGCUGAACCUCCAAAGACAAACUGGACCUGCCCUCACCUCCAUCACACCAGGCUGCCAGGAGCACCCCUGAGACAAGAAGACAUCACUACUUUUGUCACAAAAGCAAGUA